UACGUAGGGGGCAAGCGUUGUCCGGAAUCAUUGGGCGUACAGCGCGCGUAGGCGGCUCGGUAAGUCCGCUCUGAAAGUCCAGGGCUCAACCCUGGGAUGCGGGGGGAUACUGCCGGGCUCGAGUCCGGAAGAGGCGAGUGGAAUUCCCGGUGUAGCGGUGAAAUGCGCAGAUAUCGGGAGGAACACCAAUGGCGAAGGCAGCUCGCUGGGACGUGACUGACGCUGAGACGCGAAAGCGUGGGGAGCAAACAGG
rnacentral:rRNA from 1 species